GACGAACGCUGGCGGCGUGCUUAACACAUGCAAGUCGAACGGAAAGGCCCUGCUUUUGUGGGGUGCUCGAGUGGCGAACGGGUGAGUAACACGUGAGUAACCUGCCCUUGACUUUGGGAUAACUUCAGGAAACUGGGGCUAAUACAGGGUAGGAGCUCCUGCUGCAUGGUGGUGGUUGGAAAGUUUCGGCGGUUGGGGAUGGACUCGCGGCUUAUCAGCUUGUUGGUGAGGUAGUGGCUUACCAAGGCUUUGACGGGUAGCCGGCCUGAGAGGGUGGCCGGCCACAUUGGGCCUGCGAUACGGCCCAGACUCCUACGGGAGGCAGCAGUGGGGAAUAUUGCACAAUGGGCGGAAGCCUGAUGCAGCAACGCCGCGUGCGUGAUGACGGCCUUCGGGUUGUAAACCGCUUUCGCCUGUGACGAAGCGUGAGUGACGGUAAUGGGUAAAGAAGCACCGGCUAACUACGUG
rnacentral:rRNA from 1 species